AUGCCUAAGGACAUGUCCCUCCGCCCCGCCGUGGCCUUCUUCGUCGCUUGGAACCACGAGACCAAGAUGGAGAGCUCCACAUCGCGGGGAUCGAGCUCUCCUUCCUCCUUCGGACGUCGCCGUUCAUCAACGACUCCAGCGCUGUCGAUCCUCCCCGAGCCCACCUUUGCACCCCCUACGGGAUCCCAGUGA
rnacentral:rRNA from 1 species